UGGGGAAUAUUGGACAAUGGGCGAAAGCCUGAUCCAGCCAUGCCGCGUGUGUGAAGAAGGUCUUCGGAUUGUAAAGCACUUUAAGUUGGGAGGAAGGGCAGUAAGCGAAUACCUUGCUGUUUUGACGUUACCGACAGAAUAAGCACCGGCUAACUCUGUGCCAGCAGCCGCGGUAAUACAGAGGGUGCAAGCGUUAAUCGGAAUUACUGGGCGUAAAGCGCGCGUAGGUGGUUCGUUAAGUUGAAUGUGAAAGCCCCGGGCUCAACCUGGGAACUGCAUCCAAAACUGGCGAGCUAGAGUAGGGCAGAGGGUGGUGGAAUUUCCUGUGUAGCGGUGAAAUGCGUAGAAAUAGGAAGGAACACCAGUGGCGAAGGCGACCACCUGGGCUCAUACUGACACUGAGGUGCGAAAGCGUGGGGAGCAAACAGG
rnacentral:rRNA from 1 species